rnacentral:rRNA from 1 species
GAUGAACGCUGGCGGCGUGCCUAAUACAUGCAAGUAGAACGCUGAAGGAGGAGCUUGCUCUUCUGGAUGAGUUGCGAACGGGUGAGUAACGCGUAGGUAACCUGCCUGGUAGCGGGGGAUAACUAUUGGAAACGAUAGCUAAUACCGCAUGACAACAGUUAUUGCAUGAUAACUGUUUAAAAGGGGCAACUGCUCCACUACCAGAUGGACCUGCGUUGUAUUAGCUAGUUGGUGAGGUAACGGCUCACCAAGGCGACGAUACAUAGCCGACCUGAGAGGGUGAUCGGCCACAUGGGGACUGAGACACGGCCCAGACUCCUAAGGGAGGCAGCAGUAGGGAAUCUUCGGCAAUGGACGGAAGUCUGACCGAGCAACGCCGGGGGAGGGAAGAAGGUUUUCGGAUCGUAAAGCUCUUUUGUAAGGGAAGAACGAGUGUGGGGGGGGAAAGUUCCAACUGGGACGGUAUUUUACCAGAAAGGGACGGCUAACUACGG